CGGACGGGUGAGUAAUGUCUGGGAAACUGCCCGAUGGAGGGGGGUAACUACUGGAAACGGUAGCUAAUACCGCAUAACGUCGCAAGACCAAAGAGGGGGAACUUCGGGCCUCUUGCCAUCGGAUGUGCCCAGAUGGGAUUAGCUAGUAGGUGGGGUAACGGCUCACCUAGGCGACGAUCCCUAGCUGGUCUGAGAGGAUGACCAGCCACACUGGAACUGAGACACGGUCCAG
rnacentral:rRNA from 1 species